AUUUAAAUAGUUUAAUUAAAAUAUUGAUUUGUGGAGUCAAAGAUAUUAAGAUAAUUUUAAAUU
rnacentral:tRNA from 1 species